rnacentral:rRNA from 1 species
AUGGCUCAGAUUGAACGCUGGCGGCAGGCCUAACACAUGCAAGUCGAGCGGUAACAGAAAGUAGCUUGCUACUUUGCUGACGAGCGGCGGACGGGUGAGUAAUGCUUGGGAACAUGCCUUGAGGUGGGGGACAACAGUUGGAAACGACUGCUAAUACCGCAUAAUGUCUACGGACCAAAGGGGGCUUCGGCUCUCGCCUUUAGAUUGGCCCAAGUGGGAUUAGCUAGUUGGUGAGGUAAUGGCUCACCAAGGCGACGAUCCCUAGCUGGUUUGAGAGGAUGAUCAGCCACACUGGGACUGAGACACGGCCCAGACUCCUACGGGAGGCAGCAGUGGGGAAUAUUGCACAAUGGGCGCAAGCCUGAUGCAGCCAUGCCGCGUGUGUGAAGAAGGCCUUCGGGUUGUAAAGCACUUUCAGUCAGGAGGAAAGCGUGGUGGUUAAUACCCAUCAUGUGUGACGUUACUGACAGAAGAAGCACCGGCUAACUCCGUGCCAGCAGCCGCGGUAAUACGGAGGGUGCGAGCGUUAAUCGGAAUUACUGGGCGUAAAGCGUACGCAGGCGGUUUGUUAAGCGAGAUGUGAAAGCCCCGGGCUCAACCUGGGAACUGCAUUUCGAACUGGCAAACUAGAGUGUGAUAGAGGGUG